ensembl:snoRNA
GUUGUGGGUUAAGAAGAAGAAAGAAAAGUUUAUAAAAGAAAUCUACAUCGUUGGAAACGCCUCAUACAUUAACUGUGUGGUUUCCUUUACUCAUAGAACUACCUGUUAGAUCUGUGGGAAAGAACUACAAGACAAAG